CAAUAACUGAAACACUUUGAGGAGCAGAUAUUCUCAUCCCCUUCUAAUUUGCAGUUGGGACCUAGGGCAAUUUUUGUUCCUAAAACUUUGGAGUCACUUCAACAUUUUCAGCCACAGAACAACUGCUCAUGUUCUUGCUCCAGUCAUUUGAAGUCUCCCUGGGAAACAGCUGGCCUCUGAUGUGCGAGAUACCUGCUUCCCACUAUUUGGCUUCCAACAGCAAGAAGAUGACUUACGGCCAUGAACUAUCCCUUAAUUUAACACAUCAAAACUGAGCGAAAAUAAACAAAGCAGAGUGAAGAACACAUGUAGAUCAUGAACUCACAUUCUGCACCUUGCACUUUUGCCCAGAGCACAUGUUUUUGCAGCUUAUCUCCCUAGGUAUCUGUGAUGGUGCCUUCUCAUGUGUUUGUUUUCUUUGUGUGGGGAUACUUGGCAAGAAACUGCUUCUAUGGGAGAAAAAGCAGUUUCUGCUUCUCUGUGGCCAUGGACCAAACAAAGACCAUAACUGGACAUUUAACCACAGGCUUGCUGCAAAACCUGUCUGGCUUUGGCAUGACGUGCAUCUAAUGUGAAUGUGUGUUGCCUCGGAGAAUGCUCUGUUUUAUAUUCUUGCAUCUGAUUUUGUGCAGCUGGGAAGCCACGUUUCACAGGUGGUUGGUAAGCUUAUUAGAUUAUUCAUAACUGGUUUUAUUUCUCUUCUUUCCUUUUUUUUUUUUUUUUAAAGUAAUUAAAAACAUGCGUCAAAGGAGGCCCAUGAUGAUUAGAAGCACUGCUGACAUUUAUUUCCCGGUUACCUUUUGCUGUUUUCACUCACGUUAUACAGAGCCCGGUGCUGGUACUCAUACAAGUGUGCCACUUAUUCCCGUGGACAUGGCUCUGAGCCCACACCAGACAAGCUAGCAAGAAAUACGUGCUAUUCCUGUUGGAAAUUAUUUUAUUUUUUUUUAAGAGGAAGCAAACUAUAUUUAUUGGUAGUUUAUUAGGUAUUUACUUUGUGAGAAACUUCUGCUGGCAAAGAGCAGCAAUCACAGUAAUAAUUACGAUAAUGAUGAUGAAUGUUUGGCGUCAUUUUUUCUGUUGACCCAAAGCAGCGACAAAUUCUGGGCAUGGAGCAAUUCAUCUGAGGAAGAGUUCUUGAUCUGUAGUACUCUUGAAACAGGCACAUACAAGAAGAAGGGUAAAAGUACUGAAGGAGUCACUGAUGGGGUGAAGUUUUGCCAGCAGAAGAGGCUAGCUCCAGACCCCGGUAACAUGAAUUCCUGGCUGAAAUUCAGGCCAGUCUACCAGGGUGCAACACACAGCUCUGCAAGCCUCCACCGGGAUGGUCCCGGCCAUGUGUGAUCCAGAUACCAGCUCUGCAUCUCCUCCAGAGGAGGACUCCGGUAGCUCACAUGUGGCCUGUUCAGCUUCUGCUUCCCAGAGGAGUCGAGGCUGAGUUUUCCGAGGUGUUGAGCUUCGACUGGCUCAAAGUCAGGCUGUGCGUUAGCCUUUUAGAUAGUCAGACCCUCAAAAGCUGAGCUGAAUUUUAUAGAAUAAUUUCGAGGAAUGGAAAGUACUUCACUGAUGUAUGUC
rnacentral:lncRNA from 1 species